AUAACAAACCAAAAGUUACCGGUGUGAGAAAUGAACCAUAGUCAGCUGUGAUUAAUUAAUUGUUUAAUUAGAAUUCGACUGAUCAUGUCUCAACAUGUCAGUCCUCAUGAGGAGACCCACUUCACGUGAAACAAAACAACCGCUGAUACGGCCUGUCUUCAUCUCAUGCUUAUUUUGCUCUAGUGGGGGCAUGAGCUGCAUUUGGCAUUUCAUCUUAAACAAAGAAAGAGAACGAAGACAGUCUUGAGACAUUAUUGUGUUGUUCUGUCUGUUAUUCAUUAAGGACUCCAGUAAAUCUGUGAGGAUCCCUUUGCCCCGGCCGCUGACUCAUUGCAUCAUAGUGUGGGAACCUUGUGGACUGUUUCUGCCCUUUUGUGUAUUUUCCACUCUCUCCCACUCAGCUGGACAUCUCCAAAGGAACUCCGCUAACCUCUUGAUAAAAAUCUUCAGAGAAUAGUUUAAAGAGGCUUUUUUACAAUUCCUGCCACUGAAUAAAAAAGUGAAAAAUACAUUGGAACAAAGAGGAAACUGACAACACGCCGUCAGACAAGACAGAGCAAGUUACUUCAGGAGCAAUUGGGUUGUCACAAUUUCUACUGCAUUUCUCAAG